rnacentral:rRNA from 1 species
CGGGUGAGUAACACGUAGGUAAUCUACCUUUGAGUGGGGAAUAACGUUCGGAAACGAACGCUAAUACCGCAUAAUGCAGCGGCACCGCAAGGUGACAGUUGUUAAAGGAGCAAUCCGCUUAAAGAGGAGCCUGCGGCAGAUUAGCUAGUUGGUAAGGUAAUGGCUUACCAAGGCUACGAUCUGUAACCGACCUGAGAGGGUGGUCGGUCACACUGACACUGAAUAACGGGUCAG